UGAUCCUGGCUCAGAUUGAACGCUGGCGAUUGUUUACACAUGCAAGUCGAACGGCAGCACGGACUUCGGUCUGGCGGCGGAGUGGCAAUUGUGGGUGAGCAAUGUAUCGGAACGUGCCUAGUAGUGGUGGGGAUAAUUACGAAAGCGUAGCUAAUACUGCACAUUGCCUCUUCGGGGGAAAGCGGAUUCCGGCCUCGCACUAUUAGAGCGGCCGAUAUCGGAUUAGCUAGUUGGUGGGGUAACGGGCUUACCAAGGUUGACAUCCGUAGCUGGUUUGAGAGGACGACCACACACUGACUGAGAGAGCGGUCGUGACUCCUACGGGAGGCAGCAGUGGGGAAUUUUGGAGAAUGGGGAAAACCCCGAUCCAGCCAUCCGCGUGUGCGAUGAAGGCCUUCGGGUUGUAAAGCACUUUUGGCAGGGAGGGAAAUGCACGGAGGCACCUUGCAACUGACGGUACCCGCAGAAUAAGCACCGGCUAACUACGUGCCAGCAGCCGCGGUAAUACGUAGGGUGUGUAAGCGUUAAUCGGAAUUACUGGGCGUAAAAGCGUGCGUAUGGCCUGGAAAGAAAGAUGUGAAAUCCCAGAGCUUUCAGUUCUGGAACUGCAUUUUUAACUACCGAGCUAGAGUGUGUCAGAGGGAGGUGAAUUCCGCGUGUAGCAGUGAAUGCGUAGAUAUGCGAGAACACCGAUGGCGAAGGCAGCCUCCUGGGAUAACACUGACGCUCAUGCACGAAAGCGUGGGGAGCAAACAGGAUUAGAUACCCUGGUAGUCCACGCCCUAAACGAUGUCAACUAGCUGUUGGGCCUUCGGGCCUUGGUAGCGCAGCUAACGCGAAGUUGACCGCCUGGGGAGUACGGUCGCAAGAUUAAACCCAAAGGAAUUGACGGGGACUCGCACAAGCGGUGGAUGAUGUGGAUUAAUUCGAUGCAACGCGAAAAACCUUACCUACCCUUGACAUGUCUGGAAUCUUCUAGAAGAGAUUUGGGAGUGCUCAAGAGAACCGGAACACAGGUGCUGCAUGGCUGUCGUCAGCUCGUCAGAGAGAUGUUGAAGCAAGUCCCGCAACGAGCGCGGCACCCCUUGUCAUUAGUUGCUACGAAAGGCACCAUCGAGACUGCCGGUGACAAACCGGAGGAAGGUGGGGAUGACGUCAAGUCCUCAUGGCCCUUAUGGGUAGGGCUUCACACGUCAUACAAUGGUCGGGACAGAGGUCGCCAACCCGCGAGGGGGAGCCAAUCCCAGAAACCUGAUCGUAGUCCGGAUCGCAGUCUGCAACUCGACUGCGUGAAGUCGGAAUCGCUAGUAAUCGCGGAUCAGCAUGUCGCGGUGAAUACGUUCCCGGGUCUUGUACACACCGCCCGUCACACCAUGGGAGUGGGUUUUACCAGAAGUAGUUAGCCUAACCGUAAGGAGGGCGAUUACCACGGUAGGAUUCAUGACUGGGGUGAAGUCGUAACAAGGUAA
rnacentral:rRNA from 1 species